ACUUCAUAAUAUUUUGGUCAUAUGGCGGAAAACUUGAGAAGUGUUUCUUCACUUUUAUUAUUUCCAUUUUAUUUUACUCCAUAGAUCUGAAAAAAGCGGUAACCCUAAAAAAGCUGGUGGCCCUUUCAUACAGUUGAUGAAAGAUGGCAGAAGAUGGAGCCACAAUUUCAUCUACAUGUGCUGAUAUAUUUAGUUCUGGUAUAGCAGAAAAUGUUACCGUAAAGUCUAAUGCACAAUCCUCAGAUGAUACCUAUGAUACACAACUACUUGGAUUUACACCAAAAUCUUUUUGUAAUGGAAUUUAUAAUGCCAUGAACCAGUAUCUAGUGGAUGGAUUGGAGGCCAUGAAAAACUAUUUAAUUUCACGUCAUGGUGAUGUAAUGUCAAAUGAUGAUUUAAAUGAUGGAGUUAUGAAUAUUCAGCAAAAAGUUAUGGAAGAAUUUGAUACCACAUUCGAUAAAUUUGAGGUGUAUGCAUUUAACAAUGUGAUGAAUGUACCCUCACAUGCCGUAUUACCAGAAGAUGAAAUUCAGCUAAAACCAGUAGCACCAGAAAAUGAAAAUAUUGAAUUACAAAUCAAGGAAUUAAAAGAAAGUAUUCUAGCUAUAAAAUUAGCAAAUGCUAAUGCACAAAAAGAACUAGAACUAGCAGUGAUGACCCAAGAGGAACUUGAUAAGAUACUUAAUAAAAUGGAAGAAUAUUAUCCAAUCUUGUCUUCUUCAUCAGAAAUAAAAGAUGCUAUUGAUUUCUCCAUGAAAGAAAUGCUGAAAUUGGUACCUCAUUAAAGCUGAAAAAUAAAUCUCAUUUCUGACCUUUCAGAAAACAUUAGUAUAAAGAGGUAUUAUCACUUCCAGAAGGGAAGGCGGAUGUAAAUAAUUUGAAAAAUAUAUUCAGAUUAACCGUAGACUGGCUUGAUUAUUGAAAAUACAAGUACUGGCCUGCUUUAAGUAAUAAAUCUUGUACAAGCAUUAUUGAAUGACUGCCUGGUGAAGAUGACAGAAGUCAUAGGGCCUCUUUUAAGUGCUAAAAUAUUGUAACAAACAGUUCCAUAAAGUGUUUCAGGAGUUAGUAUAGCUUGUAAAAAUUUAUAUUGUUUUUAUUCCUUUUACUUGUAAAUAUAUUAUGUAAUUAAAAUAACUGCUAAGAUAAUUACUAUGUAUAUAUAUAUACACACAAAACAUGAACUGUAAAACCAAA